UACGUAGGCAGCGAGCGUUGUUCGGAAUUACUGGGCGUAAAGAGUGUGUAGGCGGUGCUCCCAGUCUGUUGUGAAAUCUCCCGUCUUAACUGGGAGGGUGCAGCGGAAACUAGAGUGCUAGAGGGUGGGAGAGGUAAGCGGAAUUCCUGGUGUAGCGGUGAAAUGCGUAGAUAUCAGGAGGAACACCUGUGGUGUAGACAGCUUACUGGACCACUUCUGACGCUGAGACACGAAAGCGUGGGUAGCAAACAGG
rnacentral:rRNA from 1 species